UGAACAGGAGUUCAUAGAGUCAGAUGAUGCAGAUGAUGAACAUGGAUGAGUCAGUUGAUGAAAAUGUAUCUUCUAUGUCUGAGGAAUCUGACCUGUCCGAGUUGAUGCACGUCCCGAUGUGUUUGAGAGUUACACUCUAUGUUUCCAGUACGCUGUCCGUUGCUUUAACCCUUUCCCGGCUUUGGACGACAUAUGUCGUCCAGCUGACCGAGAUUUUUCAAAAAUUUACUGUGCUGGCUGUGUUGGAGCUAUGCGCACGCUGUAGGUACCAGCACAUGCACAUGCGCAUUGAGCUGCUCUUUCACGUGGUAUUUUCAACAUCUUGCUUCGAGGUACACUUUGUGCAGUACUGUCGAAAGAAAAGUGACCGUUUGAUGAUGACUUCAAGAUCUUCGUAGUACAACCUCAGUGGGGUUCUAGAGCUGCUAGACAGUGAGAAUAUCGAUACUUAUGGCCUUGUAGAGUGAGAGGACAGUGACUGGGAUCAUAGCUAGGUAGGAAGAGCCUGAGGAGCCUGAAGGAGCUGGACCAAGUUUCUGGAUCUGGUGAAGAACGUUUCCCGGGAAAAGGGCGUCUGCUGAUACGACCUCGCAGAGAAGUUUCGGCAGAUCCUGAUCGAACUAUGUCACCGUGAGAACAUUGAGAACACUUACUUAGUGUCUAUAGCACUUUGUGCCUUCGUAUAAUAUUGUUUGUGUACAUAA